rnacentral:rRNA from 1 species
UGUUGGUGGGGUAAUGGCCUACCAAGACUGUGAUCAAUAGCUGAUUUGAGAGGAUGAUCAGCCACAUUGGGACUGAGACACGGCCCAAACUCCUACGGGAGGCAGCAGUGGGGAAUCUUGCACAAUGGAGGAAACUCUGAUGCAGCGAUGCCGCGUGAGUGAAGAAGGCCUUUGGGUUGUAAAGCUCUUUCGUCGGGGAAGAAAAUGACUGUACCCGAAUAAGAAGGUCCGGCUAACUUCGUGCCAGCAGCCGCGGUAAUACGAAGGGACCUAGCGUAGUUCGGAAUUACUGGGCUUAAAGAGUUCGUAGGUGGUUGAAAAAGUUGGUGGUGAAAUCCCAGAGCUUAACUCUGGAACUGCCAUCAAAACUUUUCAGCUAGAGUAUGAUAGAGGAAAGCAGAAUUUCUAGUGUAGAGGUGAAAUUCGUAGAUAUUAGAAGGAAUACCAAUUGCGAAGGCAGCUUUCUGGAUCAUUACUGACACUGAGGAACGAAAGCAUGGGUAGCGAAGAGGAUUAGAUACCCUCGUAGUCCAUGCCGUAAACGAUGUGUGUUAGACGUUGGAAAUUUAUUUUCAGUGUCGCAGCGAAAGCGAUAAACACACCGCCUGGGGAGUACGACCGCAAGGUUAAAACUCAAAUGAAUUGACGGGGACCCGCACAAGUAGUGGAGCAUGUGGUUUAACUCGAAGAUACGCGCAGAACCUUACCAACACUUGACAUGUUCGUCGCGACUUUAAGAGAUUAAAGUUUUCGGUUCGGCCGGACGAAACACAGGUGCUGCACGGCUGUCGUCAGCUCGUGUCGUGAGAUGUUGGGUUAAGUCCCGCAACGAGCGCAACCCUCACUUUUAGUUGCCAUCAUUGAGUUGGGCACUCUGAAAGAACUGCCAGUGAUAAGCUGGAGGAAGGUGGGGAUGACGUCAA